CCUACGGGAGGCAGCAGUGAGGAAUAUUGGUCAAUGGGCGUAAGCCUGAACCAGCCAAGUCGCGUGAGGGAUGAAGGUUCUAUGGAUCGUAAACCUCUUUUAUAAGGGAAUAAAGUGUGGGACGUGUCCUGUUUUGUAUGUACCUUAUGAAUAAGGAUCGGCUAACUCCGUGCCAGCAGCCGCGGUAAUACGGAGGAGCCGAGCGUUAUCCGGAUUUAUUGGGUUUAAAGGGUGCGUAGGCGGCCUUUUAAGUCAGCGGUGAAAGUCUGUGGCUCAACCAUAGAAUUGCCGUUGAAACUGGGAGGCUUGAGUGUGUUAGAGGCAGGCGGAAUGCGUGGUGUAGCGGUGAAAUGCUUAGAUAUCACGCAGAACCCCGAUUGCGAAGGCAGCCUGCCAAGCCAUGACUGACGCUGAUGCACGAAAGCGUGGGGAUCAAACAGGAUUAGAUACCCCUGUAGUC
rnacentral:rRNA from 1 species